GAGUUUGAUCCUGGCUCAGAAUCAACGCUGGCGGCGUGCCUAACACAUGCAAGUCGAACGAGAAAGUGGAGCAAUCCACGAGUACAGUGGCGCACGGGUGAGUAACACGUGACUAACCUACCCUUGAGUGGGGGAUAACCUAGAGAAAUCUGGGCUAAUACCGCAUAAUACCUUCGGGUCAAAGGAGCAAUUCGCUUAAGGAGGGGGUCGCGCCGAUUAGUUAGUUGCGGGGUAAUGGCCCACCAAGACUAUGAUCGGUAUCCGGCCUGAGAGGGCGCACGGACACACUGGAACUGAAACACGGUCCAGACUCCUACGGGAGGCAGCAGUGGGGAAUUUUGCGCAAUGGGGGAAACCCUGACGCAGCAAACGCCGCGUGGAGGAUGAAGUCCCUUGGGACGUAAACUCCUUUCGAUCGGGACGAUAAUGACGGUACCGAGAGAAGAAG
rnacentral:rRNA from 1 species